rnacentral:rRNA from 1 species
CCCUUAGAUGUUCGGGGCCGCACGCGCGCUACACUGAAGGAAUCAGCGUACUCUUGUCCUGGUCUGGAAAGACUGGGUAACCCGUUGAACCUCCUUCGUGCUAGGGAUUGGGGCUUGCAAUUAUUCCCCAUGAACGAGGAAUUCCCAGUAAGCGCAAGUCAUCAGCUUGUGUUGAUUACGUCCCUGCCCUUUGUACACACCGCCCGUCGCUACUACCGAUUGAAUGGUUUAGUGAGACCCUCGGAUUCGUCCCAGCACAGUGGGUUUCUGCUGAGCUGGUGCGCGGAGAAGACGGUCGAACUUGAUCAUUUAGAGGAAGUAAAAGUCGUAACA